rnacentral:rRNA from 1 species
AGCAGUAGGGAAUUUUCGGCAAUGGGCGAAAGCCUGACCGAGCAACGCCGCGUGAGUGAUGACGGCCUUCGGGUUGUAAAGCUCUGUUGUAAGGGAAGAACAGGUAGUAGAGGAAAUGSUAUUACUUUGACGGUACCUUACCAGAAAGCCACGGCUAASUACGYGCCAGCAGCCGCGGUAAUASGUAGGUGGCGAGCGUUAUCCGGAAUUAUUGGGCGUAAAGGGUGCGUGGGCGGCUUAUUAAGUCUGUGGUUAAAGUGCGGGGCUCAACUCCGUAUUGCCAUAGAAACUGGUAGGCUAGAGUGCRGGAGAGGGCAGUGGAAUUCCAUGUGUAGCGGUAAAAUGCGUAGAUAUAUGGAGGAACACCGGUGGCGAAGGCGGCUGCCUGGCCUGCAACUGACGYUGAGGCACGAAAGCGUGGGGAGCAAAUAGGAUUAGAUACCYUUGUCGUSCACGCWGUAAACGAUGAAUACUAAGUGUGGAGYAAUUCAGUGCYGUAG